rnacentral:lncRNA from 1 species
GAUAACACACACAAAAGGAAACAGAAUGCCAAUACAUGGACUUACAUCUGACUCCUGUCAAUAACCAAACAAAAGGAAACAGAAUGCCAAUACAUGGACUUACAUCCGACUCCAAAUAAUAGCACACGCUAACCAGCGAACACCAAAGAAAAAGGUUAUCAGAUUGACAAACUAAUAGGGAGUCUGGAACUCGAGCCUAAGAGUUGUCACACAAACACAAAGAGACGUUGAGACGUCG